rnacentral:rRNA from 1 species
UACAGAGGGUGCGAGCGUUAAUCGGAAUUACUGGGCGUAAAGCGCGCGUAGGCGGCUUUGCAAGUCGGGUGUGAAAUCCCCAGGCUUAACCUGGGAACUGCAUUCGAGACUGCAUUGCUAGAGUAUGGGAGAGGGAAGUGGAAUUUCCGGUGUAGUGGUGAAAUGCGUAGAGAUCGGCAGGAACACCCAGGGGGAAACCAGCCGACUGGGCAUCUACUGACGCUGAGGUGCGAGAGCGUGGGGAGCGAACCGG